UCUCGCCAUUUUCUAUCGGCGCUGGUUUGGAAUCCGUUGGGCCACGUAUUGUACUCCCGCUGCAGAUGGUGACCUGUGGAACCCAGAGGAGUACCUUCUUGUUGAUCGCCACGUGUUGGGAGCCGCUAGAGAACGUCACUACAGUAUUCUGCAUGUUAUUCACCAGUUAUUUUUCCUUUCACGUCUGUUAUGCUGAAAGAUUGUAGUCUACUUUGGAAUUCGUUCAAAGGGCACUUUUGGUAUUAACCCAGACCAUGGAAGCAAGGCUGAGAAAAAAAGCAAGGAAAGAGAACCCAAAAAUAUUCAGUUUGACGAAAAAAUCAUGGAUUCUGAAUGGAAUGUUUACAGGAUGAUGGUGAAACAAAAAAAGUGAAGCACUAGGGUGGACAUAACAAGGAGUUGGAAGAAAACCUAAUGUUCAACUGGUAAGGAACAGAACAUCAGUUAACCAUAAGUCGUGAAAGAAUAGAACUGAUAAAUAAGUUCAUUUGCUUGGCCAUGGAGUUACCAUUAACUCAAGCAAUAAGAGGGAAACAAUUGAGAAGCUAAGAAUCG
rnacentral:lncRNA from 1 species